AGUGAACGCUGGCGGUAGGCCUAACACAUGCAAGUCGAACGGCAGCACAGUAAGAGCUUGCUCUUACGGGUGGCGAGUGGCGGACGGGUGAGGAAUACAUCGGAAUCUACUUUUUCGUGGGGGAUAACGUAGGGAAACUUACGCUAAUACCGCAUACGACCUACGGGCGAAAGCAGGGGAUCUUCGAACCUUUCGCGAUUGAAUGAGCCGAUGUCGGAUUAGCUAGUUGGCGGGGUAAAGGCCCACCAAGGCGACGAUCCGUAGCUGGUCUGAGAGGAUGAUCAGCCACACUGGAACUGAGACACGGUCCAGACUCCUACGGGAGGCAGCAGUGGGGAAUAUUGGACAAUGGGCGCAAGCCUGAUCCAGCCAUACCGCGUGGGUGAAGAAGGCCUUCGGGUUGUAAAGCCCUUUUGUUGGGAAAGAAAAGCAGCAGGUUAAUACCCCGCUGUUCUGACGGUACCCAAAGAAUAAGCACCGGCUAACUUCGUG
rnacentral:rRNA from 1 species